UACGUAGGGGGCAAGCGUUGUCCGGAUUUAUUGGGCGUAAAGAGCUCGUAGGCGGUCUGUUGCGUCGGCUGUGAAAACCCGAGGCUCAACCUCGGGCCUGCAGCCGAUACGGGCAGACUAGAGUUCGGCAGGGGAGACUGGAAUUCCUGGUGUAGCGGUGAAAUGCGCAGAUAUCAGGAGGAACACCGGUGGCGAAGGCGGGCCUCUGGGCCGAUACUGACGCUGAGGAGCGAAAGCGUGGGGAGCGAACAGG
rnacentral:rRNA from 1 species